rnacentral:piRNA from 1 species
UCUGUUUGAAGAGACCUACCUUUAAAAG